ACGAAUGCUAAUACCUAAUAUUAUGAUAAUAGGGCAUCCCAUAAUUAUGAAAGCUAUAAGCGCUGUGAGAGAGCUUUGCGUCCCAUUAGCUAGUUGGAGAGGUAACGGCUCACCGAGGCGAUGAUGGGUAGCCGGCCUGAGAGGGUGAUAGGCCACAAGGGGACUGAGACACGGCCCUU
rnacentral:rRNA from 1 species